AUUGAACGCUGGCGGCAGGCUUAACACAUGCAAGUCGAACGAGUGGCGGCCGGGUGAGUAAUGCUUGGGAAUCUAGCUUAUGGAGGGGGAUAACUACGGGAAGCUGUAGCUAAUACCGCGUACCGUAGGAUGAGGCCAAGUGGGAUUAGGUAGUUGGGUGGGAAAAGGAUCACCAAGCCGACGAUCUCUAGCUGGUCUGAGAGGAUGACCAGCCACACUGGGAUUGAGACACGGCCCAGACUCCUACGUGAGGCAGCAGUGGGGAAUAUUGCGCAAUGGGGGCAACCUGACGCAGCCAUGCCGCGUGAAUGAAGAAGGCCUUCGGGUUGUAAAGUUCUUUCGGUAGCGAGGCGUUAACUACAGAAGAAGCACCGGCUAACUCCGUGCCAGCAGCCGCGGUAAUUC
rnacentral:rRNA from 1 species